AUAGAAUUUCCAUAGUUAAAGGGUUUACUUGAAACAGGUACCGUUCAAUUUUCUUAAGUUUUGAAUGAAUUUCCUGGGUCAAAAAAUGACAUUUGUCACGAUAUUCCAUGUGGUUUGAGCAAGCUUCGUAAUGAACGGCAAAAAAGCAUGGCAGGUAGGAAAAAAACGAAAACGGAAAUGCGUGAGACACGAAGGAACGACGGCCACGAAAUCCCCAUAACCCCGCAUUGAUCUUCUUCCCAUGACCCGAAUGUAUUGUGGAAACGCAUUCGCGUUCACGUUUCGCCCAUUCUUCAUGAUAUAUACAUAUGUAAAAGCACAUGUUGCUUUUGCAAAUUACAAGGUACACACUUAGAAAUAUGCCUCUGUUGACAUUUCUUAUUCUCCAUUCAGAAUUAGUCGCAGAAAUUCUCGAGUUAAUACUUUUGAUACUCAAGUCGGUAGAAAACUUGAGUCACCGAAGGCAGCCGAAGGUGAGCAUGCGUCGCAGGGCCAACCGAGUUUAGCCGAGACAAGGCGAAACGAACCGAACGAAUCGAACGAACCAAGCGAAGCGACGUGGAUACAAGAGCGUUGUUAGGUCAUUGACUGCCGGUGGCCACCGAUCCGCGAGUAUCCAAGGACAGCCGCUCCGACGCCUUGCGAUCUCUUUCUCUCUCUACUCAUUUUCCCGUUCUUCCGACCUCUCUUUCUUUGAUUCUCUUUUCCUUCUAUUCGUUCUUAUCAUUUCAUUUCAUUCUGUUCCGUUUA